rnacentral:rRNA from 1 species
UACGUAGGGGGCAAGCGUUGUCCGGAAUCAUUGGGCGUAAAGCGCGCGUAGGCGGCCCGGUAAGUCCGCUCUGAAAGUCCAGGGCUCAACCCUGGAAAGCGGGUGGAUACUGCCGGGCUAGAAUCCGGAAGAGGCGAGUGGAAUUCCUGGUGUAGCGGUGGAAUGCGCAGAUAUCAGGAGGAACACCAAUAGCGAAGGCAGCUCGCUGGGACGGUAUUGACGCUAAGGCGCGAAAGCGGAGGGAGCAAACAGG